CUUCUUAUGGUGUAAUGGUUAGCACUCUGGACUCUGAAUCCAGCGAUCCGAGUUCAAAUCUCGGUAGGAUCU
rnacentral:tRNA from 1 species